rnacentral:rRNA from 1 species
CUCAGGGAGGUAGCGACAAGAAAUAACAACACUGGAAAUUUUAUUUCUAGUGAUUGGAAUGAUGGGAAUUUAAACCCCUUUCAGAGUAACAAUUGGAGGGCAAGUCUGGUGCCAGCAGCCGCGGUAAUUCCAGCUCCAAUAGCGUAUAUUAAAGUUGUUGCAGUUAAAAAGCUCAUAGUUGGAUGUCUGCUGGAAGCAAUCAGUCCGCCCUAUUUGUAGGGUGUGCACUUGAUGAAUUCUGGCAUUUUUGUCCCAAUGAUGUAACGGGGCGGUGGUACUCGGUGAAAGCCGAGUAUCCUGUUUUCCGAUUGUUGGGAUACUGCUACUUUGAGAAAAUUAGAGUGUUUGAAGCAGGCUAAUUGCCUUGAAUACUGCAGCAUGGAAUAACAAUAUAGGAUUUCGGUUCUAUUUUGUUGGUUUCUAGGACUGAAAUAAUGAUUAAUGGGGACAGUUGGGGGCAUUCGUAUUCAACUGUCAGAGGUGAAAUUCUUAGAUUUGUUAAAGACGAACUACUGCGAAAGCAUUUGCCAAAGAUGUUUUCAUUAAUCAAGAACGAAAGUUAGGGGCUCGAAGACGAUCAGAUACCGUCGUAGUCUUAACCAUAAACUAUGCCGACUAGAGAUAGGAAAAUGUCAUUUUGCUGACUU